rnacentral:rRNA from 1 species
GAUGAACGCUGGCGGCGUGCCUAAUACAUGCAAGUAGAACGCUGAAGGAAGGAGCUUGCUCUUUCCGGAUGAGUUGCGAACGGGUGAGUAACGCGUAGGUAACCUGCCUGGUAGCGGGGGAUAACUAUUGGAAACGAUAGCUAAUACCGCAUAACAGUAGAUGUUGCAUGAUAUCUACUUAAAAGGUGCAAUUGCACCACUACCAGAUGGACCUGCGUUGUAUUAGCUAGUUGGUGAGGUAACGGCUCACCAAGGCGACGAUACAUAGCCGACCUGAGAGGGUGAUCGGCCACACUGGGACUGAGACACGGCCCAGACGCCUACGGGAGGCAGCAGUAGGGAAUCUUCGGCAAUAGACGGAAGUCUGACCGAGCAACGCCGCGUGAGUGAAGAAGGUUUUCGGAUCGUAAAGCUCUGUUGUAAGAGAAGAACGAGUGUGAGAGUGGAAAGUUCACACUGUGACGGUAUCUUACCAGAAAGGGACGGCUAACUACGUG